UCCUUUCUCCCACUCUUAUUUUAUAUUUAUGGUAUUUCAUUGAGGACAAUGUAUGUUUUAAGUGUGGGGGAGGGAACCAUUUAUUUGUUUUGUUUUGUUUAUUUUGUUUUUCAGUUUUUCUCUGUUUUUGGCUUUUAGUUGCUAAAUUAAAAAAAAUGCAUCUUCUUGAAAGUUUUAGGCUAUAGACUGACUAAUUUGAGAUUAGUUUGCGGAGACUUGGGAAAAAUUCACAAGAUCGGUAUCGUAUUAACACCGUAAGUCUCCUGCAUAUGGAAAUUGAUUCGAAUUCUUAUUAUGUUUUAGCCUUAAAUUCUCAUUCUCUGACAGCUCUUGAGUAGUUUAUUUCAGCAGUCAACACCAUCUCACACACACUCUACGCAGGGAAGCCGAUGAAUAUAAGUGAGUGUUCCGAAAAAGAAAAAAAAGAGAAAGAAAAGGGAAUGCACCUUCUAAGUUUGGUGACCCUCACACAGUCACUUAACCCAACGGAUGUAGAACCUUAAAAAAAAGUUGAAAAUAAGACUCU
rnacentral:lncRNA from 1 species